CAGUAGCCACGGUAAUACGGAGGGUGCAAGCGUUAAUCGGAAUUACUGGGCGUAAAGCGCACGCAGGCGGUUUGUUAAGUCAGAUGUGAAUCCCCGAGCUUAACUUGGGAACUGCAUUUGAAACUGGCAAGCUAGAGUCUUGUAGAGGGGGGUAGAAUUCCAGGUGUAGCGGUGAAAUGCGUAGAGAUCUGGAGGAAUACCGGUGGCGAAGGCGGCCCCCUGGACAAAGACUGACGCUCAGGUGCGAAAGCGUGGGGAGCAAACAGGAUUAGAUACCCCUGUAGUCCCUGUCUCUUAUACA
rnacentral:rRNA from 1 species